UGGGGAAUAUUUGACAAUGGGCGCAAGCCUGAUCCAGCCAUGCCGCGUGAGUGAUGAAGGCCCUAGGGUUGUAAAGCUCUUUCACCGGUGAAGAUAAUGACGGUAACCGGAGAAGAAGCCCCGGCUAACUUCGUGCCAGCAGCCGCGGUAAUACGAAGGGGGCUAGCGUUGUUCGGAUUUACUGGGCGUAAAGCGCACGUAGGCGGACUAUUAAGUCAGGGGUGAAAUCCCGGGGCUCAACCCCGGAACUGCCUUUGAUACUGGUAGUCUUGAGUUCGAGAGAGGUGAGUGGAAUUCCGGGUGUAGAGGUGAAAUUCGUAGAUAUUCGGAGGAACACCAGUGGCGAAGGCGGCUCACUGGCUCGAUACUGACGCUGGGGUGCGAAAGCGUGGGGAGCAAACAGG
rnacentral:rRNA from 1 species